UACGGAGGGGGCUAGCGUUGUUCGGAAUCAUUGGGCGUAAAGGGCGCGUAGGCGGCCAUUCAAGUCGGACGUGAAAUCCCCCGGCUCAACUGGGGAACUGCGUCCGAUACUGUUCGGCUUGAGUCCUGGAGAGGGUAAUGGAAUUCCCAGUGUAGCGGUGAAAUGCGUAGAUACUGGGAGGAACACCAGUGGCGAAGGCGGUUACCUGGACAGGUACUGACGCUGAGGCGCGAAAGCUAGGGGAGCAAACAGG
rnacentral:rRNA from 1 species